UACGGAGGGGUGCAAGCGUUAUCCGGAUUCACUGGGUUUAAAGGGUGCGUAGGUGGGUUGGUAAGUCAGUGGUGAAAUCUCCGUGCUUAACAUGGAAACUGCCAUUGAUACUACUGAUCUUGAAUUUUCAGGAGGUAAGCGGAAUAUGUCAUGUAGCGGUGAAAAUGCUUAGAUAUGACAUAGAACACCAAUUGCGAAGGCAGCUUACUACAGGAAUAUUGACACUGAUGCACGAAAGCGUGGGGAUCAAACAGG
rnacentral:rRNA from 1 species